GAAAUGCGAUACGUAAUGUGAAUUGCAGAAUUCAGUGAAUCAUCGAAUCUUUGAACGCACCUUGCGCCCCUUGGCAUUCCGAGGGGCACACCCGUUUGAGUGUCGUGAAAUUAUCAAAAACCUUUUUCUGCUUUUGCUGAAAAAGGAUUUUUGGAUUUGGAGGUUCAAUGCUUGCCUUUCAUCUUGGAAAGUGAGCUCCUCUUAAAUGAAUUAGUGGGGGUCUGCUUUGCUGGUCCUUGACGUGAUAAGAUGUUUCUACGUUUUGGAUUUAGCACUGUCCCUUUGGAUGCCUGCUCCUAACUGUCCCAUGGACAACGAUGGUGCUCUGGUCUUUGCCGUCUACUUUGGCGGGAGAGGCUGGUCCCACAAAAGAAAACCUUGACCUCAAAUCGGGUGAGACUACCCGCUGAACUUAA
rnacentral:misc_RNA from 1 species